rnacentral:rRNA from 1 species
AUACGGAGGGAGCGAGCGUUAAUCGGAAUUACUGGGCGUAAAGCGCGCGUAGGCGGCUUUGUAAGUCGGAUGUGAAAGCCCAGGGCUCAACCCUGGAAUUGCAUUCGAUACUGCAGAACUAGAGUAUGCUAGAGGGAAGUGGAAUUUCCGGUGUAGCGGUGAAAUGCGUAGAUAUCGGAAGGAACACCAGUGGCGAAGGCGACUUCCUGGGCCAAUACUGACGCUGAGGUGCGAAAGCGUGGGGAGCAAACAGAAUUAGAAACCCCGGUAGUCC